rnacentral:rRNA from 1 species
AACGAACGCUGGCGGCAGGCCUAACACAUGCAAGUCGAACGAAGCCCUCGGGCUUAGUGGCGCACGGGUGAGUAACACGUGGGAACGUGCCCUUAGGUACGGAACAACAGCUGGAAACGGCUGCUAAUACCGUAUGAUGACGAAAGUCCAAAGAUUUAUCGCCUAAGGAUCGGCCCGCGUUAGAUUAGGUAGUUGGUGGGGUAAGAGCCUACCAAGCCUACGAUCUAUAGCUGGUCUCAGAGGAUGAUCAGCCACACUGGAACUGAGACACGGGCCAGACUCCUACGGGAGGCAGCAGUGAGGAAUAUUGGACAAUGGGCGAAAGCCUGAUCCAGCCAUGCCGCGUGAAUGAUGAAGGCCUUAGGGUUGUAAAGUUCUUUUAGUAGUGAAGAUGAUGACGGUAACUACAGAAAAAGCCCCGGCUAACUCCGUGCCAGCCGCCGCCGUAACAC